CCUACGGGGGGCAGCAGUGGGGGAUAUUGCACAAUGGGGGAAACCCUGAUGCAGCGACGCCGCGUGGGUGAAGAAGUGUUUCGGUAUGUAAAGCUCUGUCAGCAGGGAAGAAGAAAGACGGUACCUGACUAAAAAGCCCCGCCUAACUACGUGCCAGCACCCGCGGUAAUACGUAGGGGGCAAUCGUUAUCCGGAUUUACUGGGUGUAAAGGGAGCGUAGACGGCUGUGCAAGUCUGAAGUGAAAGCCCAGGGCUCAACCCUGGGACUGCUUUGGAAACUGUGGAGCUAGAGUGCUGGAGGGGCAAGUGGAAUUCCUAGUGUAGCGGUGAAAUGCGUAGAUAUUAGGAGGAACACCAGUGGCGAAGGCGGCUUACUGGACAGUAACUGACGUUGAGGCCCGAAAGCGUGGGGAGCAAACAGGAUUAGAUACCCGGGUAGUC
rnacentral:rRNA from 1 species